GUCUCUGUGGCGCAAUCAGUCAGCGCACUUGGCUGUUAACCAAGAGAAUGGUGGUUCAAGCCCACCCAGGGACA